GUUCAGGUUGUGGGUACAUGUGAUGAAAGGUAAGGCCAGAGUGGUCCUCCUUCAGUGUGUAAUGAGACUCCCACAUGUAAUAACAGAAAGUGAUCGUUCUUGGCAGUGCUGGUUGUUAAGGAAGAUACUGAGUGUCUCUGGUGCAGGGAAUGAGUUAUUUUCCUGUCCAGGAAGGUAUGGUAUUUGCAAAUUCCCCUCUAGGGUCAUUUCUGAAGUUGUUUUUGAGCUGUGGAAAAGGAGCAGUGUCCCUGAAUUAUGCUAUGUGUAUUGUAGGUCUGAUUAAACAUAGGUAUCAGGCUAGUACCGUAGCACUUUGGUACACCUGUUUGGAUGUAACACAUAGCAUCUAAGUAUUGCCCUUCCACCAGCUGCCCCGUGUGCCUUUGGCGAGCCCUAAAAGCCUGGUGUUGAAAAUCUUCAAAGGGACAGUUAUGUCAGGGACCUCGCGUGAGUGAAAAUAAAUCUCAUCUUAAUCUACCAGCAUUUCCCACAUUAUCCUCUCUGGUUGACACUCUUUAUAGACGUAGUUUUACAUCUCAUUCUGGCAAAUCCUUUACUUUGAAAAAACCUCCUGCCUGAGUGACUCUCUGAAGUCUGCUCCCCAUAUAUUACUUUUUCUCUUCCUCUGCUGGGACAUCUUUAGCUCUCCCUACCAUGCUUCUGCUUUGUACCAGGGCUGAAAACCAAGGGGAUAAAAGCUCCAUCUCUAGGGCUUCCUUUCAUCGCAAACGCUGCAGUCAGGGGAGUGCUGUGCAGGCUGCUGUGCACACAAGUGUCUGUGCACUGAAUUUUUCCCUGGCUGAACUCGGCAGCUUGCCUCUGACAUCGUUCUUCUUUCCACAGAGUCAGUAACAUCUCUUAAUUUCCAGCAACAUUUAAGCUCUUUUCCAUGCAUUUCUCCAGCCCCUCAAGUGCCACUAAAGAGUCUUUAGGAAAGGAAGGGCUGCUUGGCCACACGAAAGCAGCUCUGUCUUUGCCAUCUUGCAUGGUUCCGUAGACACAGACUGAAAUGUCACCCUCAAACUUCGCUUGUUUUUUUUUUGCUUGUGGAUUGUUUCAUAUAGUGGUAAUGUCACUCGGUGGUGUUGUUAGUCACCUUUAAUUGUGUCAAAACUAGGAGGUAUCCAGUAGAACUUGCUGCCUUACAUAGGUUUAUUCAAGUGACUUGGGGGUGUGUCAUGUAGGACUCAGAAAGCAUCUUUUAAUUCUAGGAUUUCAAUGUUUCUUUGGUUGUGAUGCAGUUGGACUGAUGCUGAAAAGUGACUUGAGUUUGUAUAAGAGUUUUAAAAAAAUCAGGAUUGUAACAUGCCCUUUCAAAGCAGUCACAAAUAGCUGAUCCUGGAAUAACAUGAACACUCAGGAGAGAAUUGUCCACCCAUGCAGAGGCCAGGGUGAACUCCGCAGAUCUUAAUUCUACUUUCAGAGGUUUCUGGAUGUAUCUGAGAUGAGCAGCCACUGCAGUGGAAGAAAAGGCAAUGAAUGUGAUCAUUUUCUUCUCCAGAGAAAUGAUAAUGUGCUUUUGAUGCAGAUUAUUUAUAGGGCCGGUGCAUUUAAAAGCACAGUGUCAAGUCCUCAGGUAUUUUAUUGAAAACCUGCCUCCACCGGUUUCUUUGUUAGGAAAAAAACACAAGAUUGCCGUAGUAAUAACGCCAAUAUAGAUAGUGGAGCUGUUGAGCAGUUCAGCUUAGGUUAUUACCAACUUUCAUGAAAAAUCCAUGACCCUGAAAGCACAAGACAAAUUUGAAUAUGAUUUAUAUGAAAUAAAUAUAUAAAAGUGGAAUCUCAUCAACUUGCCUUCUGGUUUUCUCAGCCUGACGCUGUUGCAGCCCUGCCAUUCUUCCAUGUUUUCUUUGCAAAUUGAGGAAUUAAUACAAAUAUUUUUGGUUAAGUGGAAGUUAAGAUUCUCCUAUAGCAACUUCCCUCUGAGAGAGAGUUAAAAUCAUAAAAACCCGCCUGGCUAAUACUGAAUUACUUGGUGCAAAGUUUGAGGUAAAAGAGUUAAAAUUGACUGCUUUGCAUUUGAUAAAUGUGAUUGGGGCAUAACAGAGGAAAUUAUGUAUAAAAUAAAGUGAUGGAUCAUUCUCAAAAUAUCUUCAUUUUGCAGUAGGUAUGAGUAGUUUAGUGGUCGCUUCUGCCUUGAUUAACUACAGGUUUGCUUGCAGCUUUACACGUAAGUCGUUCUUGAUUAAGAAUGGUCUUUGCUUUUUUCUUCACCAGGCAGUUUUAUUGGUAAUCUCCCUUGACCAAAGGUGACACAAUUUACUAUGCCAGAUAUAGAGGAAAAUAAUUCAAUAUAAACUUCACACUGCCUUUAAAACCACAGGGUGAAUAGCUGUCUAUUUUGUGGAUUUGAAGUGGUUCUUCAACUUCAUCUUGAAACUUCUUCAGUUUUCAGAGGAAAAAGUGCCUCUGGGAAGUUUUUAUGAUCUGUAUACUGUCACUGUGACGUGGAUUGUUACUCAGAUAAACAGUGUUUUAGAUGGACAAAGUAAAAAAUAAGCAAUUCCUUUCACAGUACGGGGAAGACCUUCUUUAACUGGAAGCUCGCUGUGUUAAUCUUCUGUCUUGAACUGAUAGCAUGUGCCACUGUAAUUACCUAAGCCACCUUAAUUCUUUGCCUAAUUCUGUUCUGUGCAUUCACGUGAAACUGCUAAGGGACAGAAAAGUCUAAGGAAUUUACCAUGUGAAAAAAAAAAAAAAAUCUCAUUUAGAAGCAUUUUGAUUUUAAGCCAAAGAUAUUUCCAUGGCUGAGAAGGGCUGAAUGGCGUAGGUGAUGGUUGGUACUCUAAAGCUGCCCUUUUGGGAUUAAACUCUAUGCAAAUCUGUUGGACAGUGUGGGAACAAGCUGUCUCAAAGCUCUGGGUUUCUCUCUGUGUAUAUGUAAACAAGAGUUCAAAGCACUUCACAGCAUAAACACUGGACCUGUCCAUUGAGCCUGGUAGCUAUUUCAUCAUUUCCCCUUAUGGUUCGUACAAUGCGUUUCAUACAGUGAGUUUUCUGACUCAUGCUUUACCAGAAAGCACAGCUUUGUUCAAACGAGACUCUGUCUUCCUGAUAAACAGGCAAACUGGUCAGCAGUGGUAUCACGUUGCUUCUGCAUAUUUACUUUGUAGGUGUGUAUAGCACGCGUGCUGCUUGGAGGUGACUUGGUGGUUGACAAGUGCUGUACUGGUAACGAGAGGAAAAGUAGCAAUCAUUGAGAUUCUUACUAACUUGAUGGUAAAGUUGUGUAUCGGAUCUUUGCUGCUGUCCCUGGCCAGUCACCAUCGUCCCUGGCCAGUCACCAUCACCCCAGGCAGAAAAAAUGCCUUCUUUACUGUAUGAAUUGAUCAGGCCGGUUGCAUGCUAAGUCUUCAAGAUCCCCCAAAGUAUGUUUUUUUUUGUCUCCUUCCCUUGUUUGAGCAGAUAUUCUUGGGGUGAGGAAAGAGUUUUGCAGGCACUGUGAUCUCAACAAGACUUGAAAACAAUUCUAAGAUGGUUGCUGCUCCACCAUUUAUUGCCUUUUCAUAUACAGAGUGGCUGAUGACCUAAUUCCCCCGGCAUCUCUAUCAAUUUCUCUUCCUUUGGAAGUUCUCUAAUAGAAGUGAAGCAUACUGUUAAUAACUAAAUGGCUUUAGCCCACUAUUGCCCAAAGAAUUCCCUCUUCCUAAAUCCAGCAGGGCAAAACAACACUUGGAAUUAAUGGGCCAAGCAUUUCUAGCAAGAUGAUGAGGUGAAUAGCAUCACUGAGGAAAGACACUCCCCGAAGUGGUGCAGCUCUGGCUCCAGGAAUCCAACCCACCUGCCCUAGGAGUUAAAGCAAAAACUCAAUGCCCCAGGGCUAUGAUUAUCUCUGUGGCACUUCAGCUCCAUUAAUAGGAGCUAGUGGGAAAAGAGCAGCCAGCUGAACUGCAGGUAUACUCUGGGCAAACUGGGAUGUAGGACGCCUUUAGUGAUACCACCCUGUGAAAAGUGUUAUCCCCAAAGCAGAGUUGGGGGAGAGGAUAUAGGCUUGGUUGUUCAGUACACAGGGGAAAAAGGGCUGGGCUGAAUUUGCUUCAUAUGGGACCAGUUGCAGCUGAUGCAGUUGUGGUUGUGCUGGCAACCAAGGGAAUAGUCACACGAGCAGAAAAGUGGGUAUUUCCAAAGACAUCCACAAAUAGCUUGCUUGCCAGAGAGACUUGCAGAAUGAAGGGGCUCUGACUGCUGUACGUACCAAUGUUGGGGUGGAGCAGGGCAUGAGGAAGGACCAGGGAGCAUUGGGAAUAGAGCUGUGAGCUGAUAAGUUCUUGUUCCCUGCAAAAAGUGAAAAUAAUGUCUUCAUUCUUAUAAAGUCCUGAUGUGUGCUUAGUGCAAAAUCCACUAAUGUGAACGUAACCAACAUCUGUAUUUUCUUCUGUAAGCCCUGCUUUGUGUUUUCUGUUGGCUUUUGUGAACCUCACUGAGCUGUUCCUAUUGGAACCUUCUCAAAUGCUGAUCCAUAGUCCGGUUAUUUUUUGAAACUCCUGUCCUUUUUUUCCUUCCCUUUUCAUUCCACACUCCAACGUCUGCUUAUCCAUCAGCAGAGCUGAGGAUUUGCUUUUCCAUUCACUUCUUGCUUCUAUACUGGGAAGAAGGCAGGUCAGCCCCUUCUGGAGGGACUGACACAGGUUGCCACUAAGGUCAGCUGGCAGGGGAAGAGGCAGACAGUAGGGAUGGGUAAAGAGGGGCUCUCCGAGUGCCUCCCGUGCCACGGAGCUGAGUCUCUACUGAUCCCAGGUGAGGAGGAUUAUGCCUGUGACCUACUAACCUCCUCCAGUCAGGACUGGGGGUUUUGGAAAUGAGUGCACAGAUGGCCACUCUCUGGAUGGCAGCAGAUGCUACUGAUUUAAUGAGUAGGAUCAAUCAAUGUUUUAGCAAAAUUGUGGUGCACGGAGGUCUGUAGAACCGCAGUGCUUCUCCUUUCUUCCUAAUACCCGCUGCUUCUGGGCCCUUUUUCCCUUCUUUCCUUGGCAGCCCCCUAUUUGUCUCCUCCUUCAGAUCAGGCUGGCACAAAGACGAUGCAGAUAAUUUUGAUUGCACAAGGAAGCUGUUAGGGAAUUAGAAGAUUAAGAAAUGUGUGGAGGGAGAGCCAGAGAUCUUGAGGCCAAAAACUUGUUUUACUCGGAUGCCAGUAGGUUGUUAUGACAAAAUGGGUGUUAAUGAAAAGAAGAAGGAAAUCAAUCACAUACAGAAUACCCUGCUGAUAGCAGAGCUAUAGUCUUUCUGCCUCCCUACGGAGUAUUGCUGUAGUGUGAGCUUUACUGGAGCUUUAGCUUGCAUAACCGUGAACCCUAACAUAAAUGUUUUUGUCAUCAUUCACUAAGGCAAGCUUUAUCUUUCCUUCACAAAUGCUUUUGAGGAAAGCCUUUUAUUCUGACUGUCUUCUGCAGCUGUAGGUCUUGUCCUGAGGACCCACUGCAGGGUGUCUCUCUCUGUCAGGAUGAUUUCAGGGCUGUUGAACUUGCUGUAAAGUUUCUGUUGUGUUGGGGCAGAUGCUGUGUUGUGAACGUGUUCAUGCCUUGAAGAAACAACAGCUUAUCGAGAGGCAAGAACUGCCUUUCCUUUAUCUCUUCUGACUCUCAUAUCUCUCUGACUUUUUGAUAAGCCCAAAUGAACUAUUUCACCUGUGACCUGCAGGAAUGGAAGCCAAAGAACCGUCAGAAGAAAUGGAAGUUAAAGGACACUCAAAUUUCUGAGAGACGUUUCAUCAAGCUGAAGAAUAAAUAAGAUAGGGUGAAAAAGGCCUGAGCCCUAGUUCAUUAGUCAUGGCAGAUGAUUUCCUUUCUUCUUUAUUAGUGUCAGCCAUUUCCCAGGAAAAUAGUAUGUUCAGUAAAAUAAUUCUGUGUGGUAUCUGAAAUUAAAGCUUUGAGAGCUGUGCUUUGAAUCCUGAUCCGACGUCUGUUUGCUCAGGGGAGAGUCUUUCUGUUUGAAUUUACUUGCUGAUUUGUUAUCCACUGAGUGAACUUUAAAAUAAUGAUAUUAAGCAUAUCAAAACUACGUGUGGGGAAGAGCGUUGCCAUCUGAAAGCUGAAGAGGAAAGCAGAUGUUAGCUGAAAUCAGAGCGAUUCUUUACAGAUGUGUUUGUACUUGUAUUGCCAGAUUUACAUCUAUAAAAAUGCAGAUCCCUCUUGGUGCGUUUUGCCUUAUGGUUUGUGUAAUCACUGGAAGAGUAGUGUAGACACCAGCAGUUAGAUGGAAAUAAAAGUAUGUGUUAAUCAGCGGAGCCUUUCCUUCUGUUUGUAAGGAAACGUAUGAAUGGACUGGUCCCAAUAUGAUCGUGGUAUUGGGCUUCUGUUCAGUUCUUGCUUCCAACUAGGGACCUUGAUAUUUAAAUAUAGUAAUGGGAACUGAGUGCAUGCAACUGAGGAGGGGUGUUUGAUUUAGCUCUGAGCUGCUGGUAUAUAAUAUCCUGUGAAUUACAUGGGUGAGCAUGAAAGGAGAGGUAUUUUAAGCAGCCUGAUCCGUGUAGACCUCCAGCAGUUACUCGCUGUUGUGUUCAUGCUCCAAGAGCAGUUUCAUAACGACGUGACUUAUUAGGCUUGGAUUUCAGGCUCUGAUUAAUAACUUGGCUCUUCUGUGCUGAAGCUACAUGAGAGUUUUUUUUUUUUUUUUUCCUCUGGGUGAAGUGUGUGUCCUUAUUUCGCACUUGCAGUUCUGCUAGGGGAACCUGGAAUCAUCAGCAGGAGGCUGAGACUGUUAAAUCUGUGCUUUUGCUUGCUUGGAACCAAACAGAUUUCAUGGUUUAAAAGUGGUGGUGAGUGGAAGGAUGCUGGAAAUAAGAAACGGAGCAGAAAGCAUGUGUGUCGAAACCUGUUUGCACUCAAAAGGAGAGAACUGGGCUCCACAGUGAGUCAGCUAAACACUCAGCCUCAAAGAGCCACUCAUCAUGACAGAAGUAUGUCUCGGGGCCCCUGUUCCUGGAGGAGCUUUGGGCAAAUAUGGUCUGCCAGGGAUGGUAGAAGAUACUGAUAAUAGAUAAUAAGCUUUAUGUACAUGAUAAAUAUAGUAAUUACACAAGUCUAUGGUGCUACAGUGCCAUUCUGGUCCUUGGCAGUAUAGCACUGAUAGCAUUGUGGGUUUGGGGGGUAUUUUAAUUUUUAUUUUGUUUUUGAAAUGGAUAAGUAGCUCCUACAAGGUGAAUGAGCAUUCAGGAAAAGGGGAGGACACACUAAACAGCACUCACAGAGAAGAGCAAUCAGCAAGAGUUUGCUGUAGACAGUGAAACUGUGCACUUGGCUUUUUGUGCAGAGAAGUCAGAAAAGCUAUUCUGAAAACAGAGGAUUCAAAGCUCAGGACAUUUACGAAACAUCCUGCACCAAAUCUGGGCAGAGAGAGGUGUCACAUCCUCAGAGACACUAACUUAAGGUUUUGCUGGGACCUACAGUCCAGAUGAGUGAGUGUCUCCGUGAACUGUUUGGGAGUGGAGGGUAAUGAGCCUCUGUGGAUUCCCUGCUGAAGCUGUCUAAAAUCAAAAUGAUCUCGAAGAGCUUACAGUGGGUAGUACUGUCCUCCUUUGCAGUGACAUUGCACCUUACUUCUUCCACAAAAUGCUCAGUGUGCUGUGCUAAGUGCAUGGCAGCAUCUCCAUAAGAGGGUGGUAACAGUAUCCCAAGGUAGCAGUGAUGUUUCACAGUCGAACACUUUUUGGUUACUGUGGGUUGUGGAUAACGAUGAGACCAGCUUGUCAGCCAAAUUCUUGUCCAAAAAAUAAACUUGGGAGAUGGCAAAUGACAGGUCCACAAAGUUCCAAGAGCCAUUUUGGGGGCAGUUAUGUGGCUUGGGGCAGAUCUGCUCCCGGAGGGGAGAUGGGCUGACAGAAGUUCACAAACUACAUGGUUUCAAGCCCAUGAAGGCAGCGGAAACUCACAGGCUAGAAAAAUUUCAUUCCCCAGCAAGUGGGAGGAUUUCAAUGUGUGGCUUUGGCCUUUCGGUUCUUGGGCCUUUAAGAGCCUCCUGGGGAGUCUUGCAAAUCUGCCUGGCUCUGCUGCCUCUGCUCCCGAUGCUGAAGAGAAGAGGAAGUCUUCUUCCUGCUCCUUGCUCUGAGGCAGAGUGCUGACUUGAAUAUUUAGCUGGGUACUGACUCUUCCUUGUGCGCCAGGUUUUCCUAGAGAACGUGUCUGACUCCGUUUUGUUGGACUCCCUCUUAUUUGGUUUUCCCUUUAUCUGUCUGGGACUUGUUCUGCCUUCUUUGAAUAUCAUGGUUUUCUUGUUCCAGCCUGCUUCUAUGUAAAUUGCCUAGGAUGGGAAACUUCAGAAGGAUGAGUCUAUAGAAAAAAGAAAUGUAGUCAAGUGACUUCAUUCCAGCAUGCAUUUCAUCGUGGGAAUGAGAGCUCGCUCUGCAGAAAGAAACUGCUCACCACCAAACAGUGUGAACUUAUUUAACAGCAACAAUUGUUCCUUUGGCAAAGCCUAGCUAAAGCUCUCUAGGGGGAUUAGUCUAGGCUUUGCAUUAAAGCUGGACUGAAACAUACCCCACAUUCCUAGCAGAAGAAAAGUGCCAUCCAGAACAGUUGUUUCACGUAUGCUUCAAGAAAUGGGGAUUAUUUGGGAAUGGACUAUUUCAACUAAGUGACUGUUAUGGCCUGUGGAGUCACAAUUGCUGAUGAGUGACAAAAGAAACAGCAAUGUAACCACAGAAUACAUUGAUGUAAAUUAUUCAUGUGGAUUGUUGGUGUUAAAUGUUGUCAGCUGUACAGUUCAGGUAUCAAGCUCAUGCUCUAAGCUUAGAAUUGGAAAAACUUUUCCUUGGGCUUGGCCAUGAGGGGUUUGCAGCUUCUUGGAGCCCCAAGAGGUGAUGUGUGUGUGGAUAGCCUUAUACCAUGGGUACGAGAAUGAGGUGACAGGAUCUGUGCUAAAAAUCUAGCUGAUGAACUGACUGGUCUGGGAUCUGUACAAAUAAAUGGUGUUGGUUUCUUUUUGUUCAUCCGAAUCUGGUUUCCAUUCUAGCUGCGUCAGUGUGGGUUAUAUUCAGUGGUGAAAAGGGAAGGUUUCAAAUUCUUUUCCCUCAUCUACUUAAAACAUAUAUGUAAUAUGUAAAUGUAUGUACCUGUAAAACAGGCAGUAUUUUUUUUUAAUUAAUUGCUUGCCUUUGCAUUUAGAUUGCUCUCUCUCUUGUGGGUUCCUUUAAUGCUUUGGCAAUAAAUAAGAAGCUUCCAACUGCAGACAAAACCACAUUUGGGGUUAAAUGCAUGCGUUUUUGAUUGUUGGACCUUUCAUUUUGGAAAGAGGGCUAAAGAAUGUCAUUUUUUCUUAGGGUUCAGUCUUGCUUUGCCAUGACUUCAGUGGUACCAGGUCAGGUUGUCGGUGCAUCAUCAUCUGUCAGCACCUGCAGGAACAGCACAGGCAGGAGAGCUGUGAUUCAGGACAGCUAUGAGGAACAAAUCUAACUUCAAGUAUAUAUUUAAGCCCGGUUGUUUUCAAGAAGAUUUAAAUCCAUAUUUAAAGCUUAGCAUCUGUUGGAGUGCUGUGCAGAUUGCUGAUAUAAAUAGUUUGCUGAACCGGAGCUGCUCUGUCUACGUGGGGAAACCUAGGAGCAGGCAGAUUUCAGGGAGCGCUUUUGGCCACGCUGGGAUGAUGCAAGCAGAACGGCUUUGCCAGAUGACUAUUUCUGGUAUAGGUUCUUGCUGUCCUUUCGCCUUUUCCUUAGUUCACUUUCUAGCGAGGUCAGGAUUUUAGGACCAAAUAAGCAUUUAUUUUGUGACAAGAGGGAGAAGUGAAGCAUAAAAUGGGUCUGAAGCUUGAGUGUUGACUCCCUACCUCCUGCCCACCCCCCUGGCUGACCCCAUACUCAUGCAGGCUUACAGAAGUGUGGCUCUGCUGAGAGUCCUCCCCCACCCCUCAAGUUUAUCGUAAACCAAUGCUGGAAAGAUGAGCAGGGCUCUCUCUUCACUGGAAAGUUGCCAACAUGCUCUAUAUAGCUCACCCUAGGGUCUCCCUUUGUAAGUGGAGAAAUGGAAAGAGCUUUCUUCUCCCAGCUUUACUUUUGAGGAGCAUUCUCAUUUUCCCUGCUACAUUUACUUGUCUGAAUGCCUGGUGGUAAGCUGUCACUAAAUUAAAUGCUAGGUGUCUCUGUAGUUUCUCACUGUUGAAUUCUGGGUUGCUAAAAGGGGAACUGCCGUAGCCAGACCCCUGUGGGCCGAGAUCUUUCUAGAGUCGGACAAAGUUAGGGUGAUGAGCAGCUCCCAGUCCCCCUUGGAAGCAGUGAUUCAGUUGCUGACCUUCUCCUGAGUCACAAGUGAGCCAGGCUGCCCACCUGUUGCUCUGAGGUUGUGUGCUCACUGACUCUAACUUCCAUGCAAAAACGUAUAGCAAGAGUUGGUGGUGGUCGCUGCGCCUCUACCAACCCUUUCCUCUAGCACUGCCUCGGGCAGCUCUGCUCAUCUGGCUAUAGUGCACAUUUCCUUUGCGUUUCAUUUUCAUUUCGAGUUCCUGGCUAUGCCCCUUUUCAGCGUGGUAAUAUGUGGAUUUCGUCUUAAACCUGUCUGUGCCUGUGGAAUAUAAAGCAUUGCAUGCUCUUAGGGGGUAAAGGGGGUACUUAAUAAUUAGCUGAUUAAGAGAAGCAACUUUGCAUAAGUUGUUUAUGAAAGGCGUAAGGAAAACUUGAGGAAAACACAUUUCAACAAACCGUCCUUGUUAAUUUGUCACGGAGAAGCCAAGUACUGUGGAGGACUUGAAGGCUAACAGCUUGCAGCUGGUGCGGCCCAUGGAAAGUGAUGACUUUCGGGACAUCCCAUGUUUCACAACAGUUGGAGCUGUAGGCUCAUAACUGGAACUUGGCAGCGUUUAGGAAGCUCUGUAUGUAUUCUCUUUCCCUUCAUUUUCUGAACAUUGAUACAACUGUUAAUUGAAGGGUUGGGGGUUAGUUUUGCCCUGCUGGCAAAGAAAGUGUAGUUAUUUUUGCAGCAGAAAGUAGUCUGGUGGAUCCAUUUCUUCAUAUAUUUCCAAAAUUGACAUUUUGCACCAGAAACAAGCAACUUUAUCCUCCCUUCAUGGCUAAAUCUGAAUGCUUUGGAAGGCAAUGCAUAUCCCUCAAGUGCAGUGGAAUGUUAUUUGGGGGUUAGCAGAAUAGUUUAAGUUUGAAUUCUUUACAUUUACAGCUAUGGCUUUGUGUUGGAACUCUCUUCAGUACUGUCCUGUGACUAAUCCCAUCAUUUUGUAAUUUGUUAACAAAAUUGUGUAAUUUAA